AUUGAACGCUGGCGGCAUGCCUUACACAUGCAAGUCGAACGGCAGCACGGGGGCAACCCUGGUGGCGAGUGGCGAACGGGUGAGUAACAUAUCGGAACGUGCCCUGGAGUGGGGGAGUAACUAGUCGAAAGACUAGCUAAUACCGCAUACGAUCUACGGAUGAAAGUGGGGAUCGCAAGACCUCAUGCUCGUGGAGCGGCCGAUAUCUGAUUAGCAGUUGGUGGGGUAAAGGCCUACCAAGGCAUCGAUCAGUAGCUGGUCUGAGAGGACGACCAGCCACACUGGGACUGAGACACGGCCCAGACUCCUACGGGAGGCAGCAGUGGGGAAUUUUGGACAAUGGGCGCAAGCCUGAUCCAGCAAUGCCGCGUGAGUGAAGAA
rnacentral:rRNA from 1 species